GACGAACGCUGGCGGAAUGCUUUACACAUGCAAGUCGAACGGUAGAGGGGGCAACCCCUCGAGAGUGGCGAACGGGUGAGUAAUAUAUCGGAGCGUGCCCAGUCGUGGGGGAUAACGUAGCGAAAGUUACGCUAAUACCGCAUACGAUCUAAGGAUGAAAGCGGGGGAUCGCAAGACCUCGCGCGAUUGGAGCGGCCGAUAUCAGAUUAGGUAGUUGGUGGGGUAAAGGCUCACCAAGCCAACGAUCUGUAGCUGGUCUGAGAGGACGACCAGCCACACUGGAACUGAGACACGGUCCAGACUCCUACGGGAGGCAGCAGUGGGGAAUUUUGGACAAUGGACGCAAGUCUGAUCCAGCCAUUCCGCGUGCAGGAUGAAGGCCCUCGGGUUGUAAACUGCUUUUGUACGGAACGAAAAGGUCUCUCUUAAUACGGGGGACUCAUGACGGUACCGUAAGAAUAAGCACCGGCUAACUACGUGCCAGCAGCCGCCGCGGUAA
rnacentral:rRNA from 1 species